rnacentral:lncRNA from 1 species
GUCAUGUUACUCAGGAAGCGCACAGAUUCCUUCCUGCUGUAUAUUUUGGUUUUCAGUAUCUCUUCCCUUUAGUUUUUUUGGUCCACUCUGUAAUGCUAAGCGUCAAAGUCUAAACAAAGGACACUAUUUUGUGGUAUGCAUUAUACUAAUCUGUGGAGAAGAGUGUGACAGGGAAAUCAUCUAUCCAUUUUGCCUCUAAUGACAAACAUGACACAAUACACAGAUACCUCCUGUUAUGAGUUGAAUGCACCCUCACUUCAUAUAUUAAAGGCCUAACCCCCUGUGUCUCAGAAUGUGACUGUAUUUGGAGAAGUUAGUAAAUAAUUAAAGAAGUAAUUAAAUUAAAAUGUGGACUCUAGGGUAGGCCAUAAUAUAAUAUGUCUUGUGUUAUUAUAAGAAAAGAUUCAGGUCCUCAUACAUGCAGAGGGAAGACUAUAUGAAGACACAGAGAAAACAGCUGUCUACUACCUAAGGAGAGAGGCCUCAAAAGAAACCACUGUGCCAACAUCCUGUUCUUGGACUUCUAGUCUCCAGAACUGUGAGGAAAGAGGAGUGCACUCUGGACUCUGAAAUGAUAAAGGAUAGAAUCUUUCAUUUCCAUCUUGAAAUUUCAAGGGAGGAGGAUGGAGUGUUGGUGCUGGUGGGAGAAGGUUGGAGUGUUUGGGUCUGAAUAGAAUGAAACUACAUAAAAGGAAAUAAAAGGCCCCAAACACAGGCGAAUAAUCGAAGUGGGUUGGAUUUAAGCCUAAAAAUUUGCUUUGCCAGGUAAGUACUUUGAGAUACAAAUAAUAUUAUCUUUUAAGUCUGCAUAUUUUCCCUUCUCCCACAGUCUCUCAGCAUUUUGAGAAAGAAGAACUUGCCCUCUACACCUUUGUCUUCCCAACAGGGCCUGGACUGCUCUUCAGUAACUAUUUAUCAAUUGGUGCAUUGUUGUAAAUGUUCUUAACACCAUCAUGUGAUUAAAUCAGUGUUUUCUGGCCCUAAUGUCUAGUUGUUUUAUAUAAAUGUGAAAGAAAGAGGCACCUGGGUGGCUCAGUGGUCAAGCAUCUGCCCUUUGGCUCAGGUUGUGAUCCCAGGAUCCUGGGAUUGAGUCCCACAUCAGGCUCCCCACGGGGAGCCUACUUCUCCCCCUGCCUGUGUCUCUGCCCCUUUCUGUGCUUCUCAUGAAUAAAUAAAAAGCAAAAAAAUCUUAUAAAAAAAAGCAAGAGAAAGCGUAUAGCAAAGAAACCUCCCAAUUUCUUCCCCUCUCUCUCCUUCCUUCUUUUUUCUCCUUCUUCUUUCCCUUCAUCUCUUGUACCUUCUUUCUUUGAUUUUCUCUCAUUAUAGAGAUGCAGGGCUGGGUUUAUAUUGUUUUGUGGGACCCAGGAAAUUUAACAAAAAUCCCCUACCCCUGGACAAGCAGAACAGUACUAACUCCAUUUUGUGCUGCACCUGCCACCUCCUGUAUUACCCCCCCCCAUGACUUGCUUAUUGCUUAAGGCGCUGCCCCACCCUAGUCAAGCUGCUAGGCACACCCAAAUCGGAAAUCGGCUCAUAACAAUGUAAACCCCCCCGCCCCGCCCCCGCUUGUGCCCACCAAAACUGCCCACCGAUUCUGGCCAAAAUAAUAGGCCAGCUCAAAUGGAUACUAUAGGGUAAAAUGUAAUUCAAUCGGCCACCUGCAUGUGAACCGACAUGACUGUGCAACUUUCUGCGUAUGAUACAAUCCCAUUGGCAACUGGCCCCUAUAAAGCUGCUACCCCUCUUAGUCUCGGGGUCCAAGUCCCUGCUCCGCUGCGUUGGGUACACUUGGACCCAAGCUCGAGCUUGUAAAUAAACCUUCAUGCACUUGCAUUGGUGUCGGCUCCUUGGUGGUUUCUCGGAUUCGCAAUCUUGGGCACAACAGUUUUUGGUUCUUUUUCUAAAACUUUGGUAAUCAAACUUCUUUCUCAUUUUAUGUUGUAGUAAGUACAAUACAUUGAUAUGAAUGUUUUGUUGAUUUCUCAUGUUGUAGAUGGGAUCAAUUAGGGGGAGCACAUUAAUAUGAGAUCCUAAGUCAGAACAAGUGGGAGCAAAACACUUUAAAACAAGCUUCUAAGAAGCCAACAGGAACAAAUCAAAUCAUUUCUUACGAAGAAACAAGGAAGUACAGAGGCCAGUCUGCACAUAUAUCUUUGGUGGGAACAGGGGUUGAAAGUAGGUAAAAAAAAUGUGAACUCAUGUCCAGAAUGAUAUCACGGCACUUUGAGAUAAAUGCUAUAGGCCCCCUAUGUGAUUGCCAUGUUUGAUACUCAGCAUGCCUUUGAAAAAUCCUGUGGACUUUGUUUUUACCAAAGUUGGUAACAUAGUGAGUCUGGCUAGACAAUGAGCAAACUUACCAACAAAAUAUGACUGUAUCAUGGUGUAUUAAACUCAUCAUCGGAAAUAAAUGUUUGAAAACAAGAUGAGAAUAAAUAUUAUCAUGAAUUUGGCAGUCACUUGUGGGAGGCAACACAAAUACCUAGAAAUUUGUAGUAAUUAAGUCAUUGUAACCCUAAUAAGGUUUUCAAAGAAAUAGACACAUUUAAGGAAACCCCAAUCUCCCUUCCCCCUUUUCUCCUUACCAGACAGAAGAACCAAACGGUGUUGUCUAUUAUGCCAAAGAGAUAAUGGCCAAUUUUGUCUGUCAGACUUCAAAUGAAUUACAUCUAUAUGUGUGGAACACUAUUUUUGAGACACUUUCACAAUGUUACCUUAUUUAACAUUUGCAGAAAUAUAGCAGUUAUCCUUAUAUCUAUUUUACCAAAUAUGAAAUAACAAGAGAUCAUGACAUCUUCCAAAUGUUAACCUUCCAGUGUCUCUUGAAUAUGGCACUGGGAAGACCACUGAUCAGUGACUUCUGACUUAAUUUCCAGUGCUGGUCCAGUGAUCCCAGCACUAUGUCAUUAUCUACUCCAAGUUACCCUGGGCCUCGAACUAUGAACACAGAGUAACUCAUUUAGUCAUCAUUAAUUCAUAGAUUUCCAGUUAGAAUAAUACAUGAUCUUGAAUUACAUUCUGAAGUCAAUAGAAUAAGCAUUGCCCUGGGGUCCAUCCACCCCCAUCUUCUCUUGCUAAGAGCAUAGUUCUUAGAAGCCAUCCUUAAAAUUCAGGUGUUUCUCAGCUUCCGUAUUCAUUUAAGGCUUUUCCCCUUGCACAGGCCUACAGGAGAAGAAGACAAUUUUUAGUUUAUUCCUGUAGUUUUUUAGUCGAACACUUUGGAGGUUACUUUUGAAAAAAAGUUGGAAUGUGAAAUAGAAUUUCCAGAAAUGUUGCUACACAGAGAGGAGUUUAUGGGGCAGCAACGUUGGAAUCAGAAUCUGCUUAGAAACAGACUCUGGGCAGCCCGGGGGGCUCAGCGGUUUAGCGCCACCUUCAGGGCAUGAUCCUGGAGACCCAGGAUUGAGUCCCAUGUCCGGCUCCCUGCAUGGAGCCUGCUUCUCCCUCUGCCUGUGUCUCUGCCUCUUUCUUUCUCUCUGUGUCUCUCAUGAAUAAAUAAAUAAAAUCUUAAAAAAAAAAAAAA